GCUCAGACUAAUCUCUCACUCAUACGUAUCGUUUAUCUUCGGUCUCCUUCGUGCUACUUCGGUCUCUCAUUCGUCUCUACACACUCGCUCCCGACCUAUAGCGUCAGACGAUCUACGACCACGUCAGACCGAGUAGAAUUCCUUCUAUGCUAUGGAACUUAAGUAUGUAUUCUGCUUUUUUUCAUCGGUUAUUUCCAAGACAUAAUUGAGAAGCUAAGAGUAAUAUACGUGAGUAUAUAUAUCUGUUAAAAAGAAUCAUUUCGUUUAUUUUAUUUUCAAACGAAAUUAUACGCUAAAUAAGACAUAGGAAGGACGAAAGUGUAACACGAGAAAAGUAUUUGUAUAUUUGGAGAGACACAUUUUAGGAAUAUCGACCAGGACUGUAUCGAAUCAACAUCGAACCCUAUUUCUCACACAUUCGUUCAUUUUUCCUCGAUUAUUUUCUAUCUUCGAUAACUUUAUUUUCAAUAUUUAUCCGAUAACAAUUAAAACAUUGUACGAUUCUCUCAUGUAACACGAGAAGAAACAUUAUUGGUUCGUGUUAUUCUUGAAUAUACUACUAUUUCAAUCAUUUAUUAUAUAUUAUUCCAAACAUAAUUAAAAUAAAACUAAAAAAAAUACUGUCAACCGCGUAGCGGUCACUCGUGACCAGCAUAUAUUCUAUCAAUGGGUACCAUGUGGAUGAUCUGUGACCAACGUUACUAUAUUUUAUAACCGAUCUUAAAAUUAUAGCCCCUAUGAUACAAAACGUAUCUCUCAACCGGUUUAAUAUUUCAAAAUAUCUAAUAUAAAUUGAAGAAAAACAAGAAAGAAAAGAGAAUUUUGAAUGAAAGACGAGUGUUUUUUGGAGGGUUGGUUCGUGGGUUAAUAGAUACAGUCCUGAGUUGAAACGGCUCUCCGAUAGGCACGGGUGGUCGAAUGCGCGAACGCGGUUGCGCGGCCGCUAUCACAUGGCCUUGUCCUUGAAUGAGGCUCGUGAACCCAACUGCCGCCGCUUUUAUCGAUCAGCCCCCGCAACCCGCUUCGACGCACUCUCCAUGACCAUCCAUCCAUCUCGAUGCAACGACGUAUCAACAAGCCAGCGCUCCUACUUUCGGAUUCGAUCGAAUUUAUAAACGGUUGGAACUUGACCGGACCUUUCGAAAUCAAACGCCUUAUCAAAUUCCUGCUUAUGUACUUAUAUAUGUCUUUUUAUAUUCGAGUAUGAUAUCCAAGUUGUAAUAUUAUCCCUUAAGCAGACUCGCAUUAAUCGAUUGUUCGAAAUUCAUUAAACGAGCUUCGAUGGAACAUUUUUUUCUUUUUUAGACAUUUCGACAAAUAUUUGAUCUAAAAAUAAAAUUCUAUUAAAUGUUUUGUAUCAUAUUAGUUUGAUAAAUCGCGAAAGGAUAUAUGUAACCGUAUAGCUUACGAAAUAAUCACAACUUUCGAUUAUCUUAAAAAAACAAACAGGACAAUUUUAUUGAAUUAGGAUUAGUUUCACGACGCACAAAGGCACUAAGCUACUUCAUACAAAUUUUCCUUUGAAAGAUUAGCAAAUAGUAUAUAUGUUUAAUAGUAACAUGUUUAUAUUGAUCUCGAGUUGACUAAAAAGGAUAAAACGUAUUGAAAAAAAGUAUCCUACACGAGGAUUAAACUAAGGACUAGUUUAACGAUUGAAGACACGAAUUAUUGAAGAAGAAGAAGAAGAAGAAGAAGAAGAUGAGGGACAAACGAGGCUAAUCUUUAAGGGAUCAGGUCUCUCCUUGUGCGAAUGCCUUUAGAAAAUGAAUGAGACUUAAUGAGCUUAAUAGUAGCAGGUUAUUCUAGGUCAGAUCGAGAGAGAGGGAGGUCAAGGAUUUUAUUCGCCGAAGACGACCGAUACAGUUUGUUCAACUGUGUGUAAAAUUUAAAUACACAAAUAUAUUUUUUUCGAUCGAAACUUUCAACAUUUUAUCUU
rnacentral:lncRNA from 1 species